GAGGAGCUGUCCUGUGCCAGAAUGAAGUCUGACUGGCUACUUCAAUUCCUGCCUUGACGUCCUCCUAGUGAUGACCUCUAACCUGGAAUUGUAUGCCCAAUGACGGACCCCUUUCCUGACUUAAAGUUGUUUCUGUCAGGGUAUUUUAUUCCUUGACUCUGUAAGCAGCAAAGCAGGUUUGCAGGCUUCAGGAUCUAAUUCUUCCGGGUCUGCCUCAGGCAUGUAUUUUUUAAACCUAUCAUUUACUCAAUUGCAGACUUUCAUGAUCUCGAGGAGAGACAAAUUACUGACUCCGAAGAGCUUCGCCAGCAGAAAGAUGGCACUCACUCACUGGCCUUCACCGAUGGGUUUCUAGUCUGUUCUGGGACGUGAAGAGCAGAAUUGAGACGCCUUCAGCACAUCCAUCUGCCCUGACAUUUGGAUGGGAGUUGGCUCUUGCUGUGACAGGAGCGAAACUGUAUUUUGAAACACCUGUUCUUCAAAUUCCAUGGCUAUGUAGGAUUCCCUAGAGGCUGAGAUAAUAAAAAAUGAUC
rnacentral:lncRNA from 1 species